GUCUUUUUGAAUCUAUAUAUAAAGUCUAAUCUGCCCAUUGAUAUUUAUUUAACGGCCGCAGUAUUUUAACUGUGCAAAGGUAGCAUAGUCAUUAGUCUUUUAAUUGAAGGCUUGUAUGAAUGAUUGGACGAGAUAUAAGCUGUCUCAUAAAAAUUUAUUAUUGAAUUUAAUUUUUUAGUUAAAAAGCUAAAAUAAUUUUAAAAGACGAGAAGACCCUAUAGAUCUUUAUAUUUAAAUUUAUUAUUAUUUUUUGGUUUAAUUUUAUAAUAAUAAAAUAAAGUAUUUUGUUGGGGUGACAUUGAAAUUUAACAAACUUUCAAAAUUUAAAACCAUUAAUAUAUGAAUUGUUGAUCCUUUAUUAUUGAUUAAAAAUUUAAGUUACCUUAGGGAUAACAGCGUAAUUAUUUUGGAGAGUUCUUAUCGAUAAAAUAGAUUGCGACCUCGAUGUUGGAUUAAGAUUAAUUUUGGGUGUAGUAGUUCAAUAAAUUAAGUCUGUUCGACUUUUAAUUUCUU
rnacentral:rRNA from 1 species